AGCAGCCGCGGUAAUUCCAGCUCCAAUAGCGUAUAUUAAAGUUGUUGCAGUUAAAAAGCUCGUAGUUGAAUUUCGGGGUUAGUAGAUUGGUCAUGCCUCUGGUAUGCACUGGUCUUACUGAUUCCUCCUUCCUGAUGAACCGUAAUGCCAUUAAUUUGGUGUUGCGGGGAAACUGGACUGUUACUUUGAAAAAUUGAGUGUUUAAAGCAGGCUAACGCUUGAAUACAUUAGCAUGGAAUAAUGAGAUAGGACGUUCGAUCUUAUUUUGUUGGUUUCUAGGAUUGACGUAAUGAUUAAUAGGGAUAGUUGGGGGCAUUAGUAUUCAAUUGUCAGAGGUGAAAUUCUUGGAUUUAUUGAAGACUAACUACUGCGAAAGCAUUUGCCAAGGAUGUUUUCAUUAAUCAAGAACGAAGUUAGGGAUCGAAGACGAUCAGAUACCGUCGUAGUCUUAACCAUAAACUAUGCCGACUAGGGAUCGGAUGAUGUUAAUUUUAUGUACUCAUUCGCGUACCG
rnacentral:rRNA from 1 species